rnacentral:misc_RNA from 1 species
GAUGAAGAACGCAGCGAAAUGCGAUAAGUAAUGUGAAUUGCAGAAUCCAGUGAAUCAUCGAAUCUUUGAACGCACAUUGCGCCCGCCAGCAUUCUGGCGGGCAUGCCUGUUCGAGCGUCAUUUCAACCCUCGACCUCCCUUUGGGGAAGUCGGCGUUGGGGACCGGCAGCACACCGCCGGCCCUGAAAUGGAGUGGCGGCCCGUCCGCGGCGACCUCUGCGUAGUAAACCAACUCGCACCGGAACCCCGACGUGGCCACGCCGUAAACCACCCAACUUCUGAACGUUGACCUCGAAUCCGGUAGGACUACCCGCUGAACUUAAGCAUAUCAAUAAGCGGAGGA